ensembl:misc_RNA
GUAAAAGUUUCAUUUGAUCUGAACACUAUUCAAAUAAAAUACCUGGAUGAAGAAAAUGAAGAG